GUAGGUGGCAAGCGUUGUCCGGAAUUAUUGGGCGUAAAGCGCGCGCAGGCGGUUCUUUAAGUCUGAUGUGAAGGCCCACGGCUCAACCGUGGAGGGUCAUUGGAAACUGGAGAACUUGAGUACAGAAGAGGAAAGCGGAAUUCCACGUGUAGCGGUGAAAUGCGUAGAGAUGUGGAGGAACACCAGUGGCGAAGGCGGCUUUCUGGUCUGUAACUGACGCUGAGGCGCGAAAGCGUGGGGAGCAAACAGGAUUAGGUACCCUGGUAGUCCACGCCGUAAACGAUGAGUGCUAAGUGUUAGGGGGUUUCCGCCCCCUUAGUGCUGCAGCUAACGCAUUAAGCACUCCGCCUGGGGAGUACGGCCGCAAGGCUG
rnacentral:rRNA from 1 species